rnacentral:rRNA from 1 species
UACGUAGGGUGCGAGCGUUGUCCGGAAUUAUUGGGCGUAAAGAGCUCGUAGGCGGUUUGUCGCGUCGGCCGUGAAAACUUGGGGCUUAACCCCAAGCCUGCGGUCGAUACGGGCAGACUUGAGUUCGGCAGGGGAGACUGGAAUUCCUGGUGUAGCGGUGAAAUGCGUAGAGAUCAGGAGGAACACCCAUGGCGAAGGCAGCUCUCUGGUCGACCUCUGACGCUGAGACGCGAAAGCGUGGGGAGCGAACGGG